rnacentral:tRNA from 1 species
UCCCUGGCAGUCCAGUGGUUAGGACUCCAUGCUUUCACUACGGCAGGCACAGGUUCAAUCCCUGGUUAGGGAA